rnacentral:rRNA from 11 species
UUUGCCUAUUGUAUAGCCUCAAAGGCACCAGAUACUGUCUGAUCUUGGAAACUAAUCAGGGUUAGUCCUGGUAAGUACUUUGAUAAGAGAUCACUAAUGAAUAUCAGGUACAGAUAUAU